rnacentral:rRNA from 1 species
AGAGUUUGAUCCUGGCUCAGGAUGAACGCUAGCGACAGGCCUAACACAUGCAAGUCGAGGGGCAGCGGGGAGGUAGCAAUACCUUUGCCGGCGACCGGCGCACGGGUGAGUAACACGUAUGCAAUCCACCUGUAACAGGGGGAUAACCCGGAGAAAUCCGGACUAAUACCCCAUAAUAUGGGCGCUCCGCACGGAGAGUUCAUUAAAGAGAGCAAUUUUGGUUACAGACGAGCAUGCGCUCCAUUAGCCUAGG